GAAGACGUGGAGCCUUAUGGAGGGAGUGACUGCUACCUCAAAUGGCUCCGGGUGGCAGUGGAGAGGACACAAAGGCGUUCCAGUUGCAGACCUGGAUAUUCUUCUGCUAGGACAUUCUGUGAAACAACAGGCUACGAUAAUACACGGAGGAGAAUCUUCUCACUGUGGGAUACAAGCAACAUUGAAACAUUGAAACCUUCAAGAACAAAGCACCAAGGACAGUUAUAAGAAACCCUGGGAGCCAUGGGAGACUAUUUGCCAUAGACUCUUGAAGUUUCAGCACUGGAAAAAGUCACACGUAAAAUAAAAAAGGAAACAUCUUUACCACAA
rnacentral:lncRNA from 1 species